UACGAAGGGGGCUAGCGUUGUUCGGAAUCACUGGGCGUAAAGGGCGCGUAGGCGGCCGAUCAAGUCGGGGGUGAAAGCCUGUGGCUCAACCACAGAAUGGCCUUCGAUACUGGUUGGCUCGAGACCGGAAGAGGUGAGUGGAACUGCGAGUGUAGAGGUGAAAUUCGUAGAUAUUCGCAAGAACACCAGUGGCGAAGGCGGCUCACUGGUCCGGUUCUGACGCUGAGGCGCGACAGCGUGGGGAGCAAACAGG
rnacentral:rRNA from 1 species